AAGGGCACCACAAGAACGCGUGGAGCAUGUGGCUUAAUUUGACUCAACGCGGGAAAUCUUACCGGGUCCGGACACACUGAGGAUUGACAGAUAUAUGCACACGCAUACUUUGUAUGCUGUGUGCUUAAAGAUGCUAGUUCUUUCAUGAUUAUGUGAUAGGUGGUGCAUGGCCGUUCUUAGUUCGUGGAGUGAUCUGUCUGCUUAAUUGCGUAUCAAUAAUAGAGACCUAGUAUACGCGUAGACUCAUGUGGUAGUGACCCCCUUCGGGCGCGUGUCGCACAUAUGUUAUACGCACUGGUCUCAGAUAGCAACGAACGUGACCGUAUUCUAUUGUUGCAGUGAAAAAUAUACACGCUUCGGCGCUGUAUAAAACCCACUGCUUAGUAAUGACACAUUCUAUGUGCCAAUUACAUUAAACUAUAGAGACCGCUGUUUCUUCUUUAAACCAGAGGAAGGAUACGGCAAUAACAGGUCUGUGAUGCCCUCAGAUGUUCCGGGCUGCACACGUGCUACAAUGAUCAUUGCACUGUGCAUCUAACCCAAUGUGCGCGGACUACCAUAGUUACGUAUAUCAUCUCAUGCUUCGGUGUGAGUGUGUACGUAUACUUUAUGUGUGACCGCGCCGAACCUACUUCGAAAGUAAAAUUUUUAAGUGGGUAAUCCAUUAGAAGUAAUGACUCGCAUAGACCAUGGCACACUUAAUGUACGCGCAGGUCUACCCGGCUCGCCUUUGUGUGAGUGCAGUGCGUAGCUUGUUGUUUCGUACGUGCCACUCCGUAUUAAUUCAUACGUGGGGAUAGAUCAUUGUUUAAUUGUUGGUCUCGGUCUUAACUAGGAAUGCCUUGUACGGGUCUUUGGUUCAACAUACCACCCGGAAUACAUCCCUGCCCUUUGUACACACCGCCCGUCGCUCUUACCGAUGGAUUAUACUAUGAAUCUAUAGGACUGCCAAACAUUGCAUACUUCUGUGUGUGUGUUAGUGGAAAUAUAUAUGAAUAGUGUGAUCUAAAGGAAAGAGAAGUCGUAACAAGGCAUCGGUAGGUGAACCUGCAGAAGGAUCA
rnacentral:rRNA from 1 species